GUGACGUCAUCAUUAGUCCCUCCCUGAAAUAUCUCUUGUAUCCUGGAGGUCCCUGUCUUCUUCUGUGAUGUCACAAGUGUUGUCGUGCCUGCAACUGCCUCUCAGAUAUUCCUGCAGUACCUCUGGGGUAUACUAAUUGGCCUCUAAUUGAAAUAAACAGGGAGGAAGAAUAAAGAGGAUGAAGAUAUCAGUGAUGGGGAAAAGAAUGCUGGACUUCUGUCUUGGUAUAACCAAAAAGGAAGAAAUAUGUGAUACUUGGGAUAGCACAAAGAGACCUUAGUAGUGAUUGAGUGGGAUCUCUGAAGAGAUAGCCUUGAUUUGACACUACCACAUAUGGGAAUAAGGAGCUUGGAGCCUCUCAGAAACAUAUGGACUUCCCUGUUGUUUGGUUCCUGGUUUGCUGGGAAGGCAUCAUGCCAACCUUCCACCAUCAGUGAGAAAGUACAGCACAUUAAGAAGUUGGAGAUACUGACUAUUGAGCUCAAGAAGAAAACCUGUGAGUUGGGUAACUUCCAGGAAUACUGACCCAUGGCAUCCACAGAAUUUCAACAGAAGAUAGUCAUUACAUUCAGUCAUUUGUUGACCGUCUUGACCCCUCUGUGUUAACCCCAGUAUUCUCACAUCAGAAGCAACUGCAACGCCAGCAUCCUUAUGCACAAACUCAUUUUCUGAUGCACCUCUCAAAAGCAGAACUUGAAGGUAGGAUAGGAGUGUAAUGGGAAGCUAUUUCAUUUCCAGAAAAGAAGAAGGUGUGUUUGAAUAACAGUGGAGAUAUGGCAAGCAAUGUGUGAGCUCUCAUCCUGGAUUUUAAUAGAAAAAGAAUGGAUUUUCUGUCCUCAGAGGAACACAGAAAGCUGCUAUGGAAAUCUUCUUGUUGACUGGGCUCAUAGCUUCAGACUUGAAGUCAGGCAUACUAUGGACAUGUAGAUCCUUUUGGAAGAAGCUGCUACGUUGGAGGAACUGGGUAACAGUGAGCAAUUGUAAGAUGUUUGUCCACCACCUGAUGCCUUGCUGAGAAAAAAGUCUCCUCUUCUCAGCCUGAAAACUGGGCAAGCUGGGUAAACAGGCAUAGCUAACAAGCCAGUCCAGUUUAUACAAGGUAUAAAGGGAGAGCAUUUCAUUGACUAAGUUGAAUAUAAACACUGUCCACUAUUUUCUUAUCACAUGAAAGGAAACUUUUGUCUAUACUCGGGUCCACAAAGAUCACUUCUCACUAUCAUUGCCAUUUCUUCCCUGGUAGGACCCUUAAGAGAACUGAGAGAGUCAGAGAAAGACACAGACAACAAUAAUCUACAUUGUAGAGAUCAAGGCCAUCUCAUAAGAAACACUUCCUCGUGGCUGUGAAUUCAGCAGAGGGAAAUUGCAACCAACGCUUGAUAAUGCAGCUGAUAUCUGGUAUACAGACUCAUUGACUAACUGUUCUAUUGGAGAAAGGAAGCAUCAAAAGUUAGCAUGAGACCAAAAAAAAAAUACUAAAAUGAGUCAGAACUCUGAUACAUUUAGUAAGUGUUCCCAGUGUGGGUCACAAAUAACAUGAAGGAUAUAUGUUUGAGCUAGAGUUACUCUGUUGGAGUCCUCACAUUUCAUAUGUACUUGAAAAUCUGUCACAGCAAACUAUAUUGAUAUCAUAUGCUAGUCCGAGAGACCAUAUCCAAAAGUAUAUAAUUCCUUCUGAAAUACAGUGUUGAAAAUACUGCACAUCACACAUUUGUAUGUAAGGCUAAAAUUAAUGUUCUACCUAGAUAAAAGCAUUCUCUCAAUCCUUAUCUAAGUAACUUGUUUUUAUUUUUCCGUUUGGAAAAUGGCUGAGUAUUCUUCAGUUCCAAACAUGAACUGAAGUGACUCUUCCUCAGACUGUACACAUAGUGGACAUCUGAGUAGUAAUUGACAUUUUUAGACAGGUGGGUCUCCCCAAGGGUCUUUUAGGCAUGAAUAAGCAUGUAUAGCCAUAUUUUAGCCAAGGGAUUCAUGUAGUAGCUUAAAUAUUACAGGACCCCUCUGUUGCAAAUAAUUUUCUUUUACACAGGUGAAGGAAGGUGUAUCAAAGGCUGAGUAUCAAACGUUGUAGAUAUUACACCAUCUGUAGAUGAUAAUAUACCAAGAAGAAUCCCUUAGGAUUACACUGAUUGAUCUAGAUACUCCCACAUGAUUCUAAUACAGAACAAGAAAUCACUUGGCUUGGAAACUUAAAAUAAUAUAGUGCUGCGGAGCUAUGUGGAGUGUUAAUAGAUAAUGAGAAACCACCUAAAAAGCACAUGCAUAUGUACAAGAUGCUAUUCAAAAAUUACCCAGAGGCAGUUUGGCAACCUACAUUCAGCACAAAAUGAUUGAUUCUACACUUCAUAGAUUCUGAUCAGGUAAAUUGAAUAUUGAGAAAGCUAUAUGAGAACUCACUUGGUUAUCACAUGACUGUAAAACUAGGUAGUCUCAACAGACAUGUCAAUCAGGAAGCAUAGCCUGAACUUGCCAACAAUGGAUGAAGUGCAUUUAGCUGACGAGGUCUGACCAUGAAACUCAAAUUUCCAAAAUACCAGGUAGGUUUGAAUUUGCAGAACAAUAAAUACUUAAUGAGUUUUGGGGCAAAAUUCUAUUCUAAAGACUCCAAAAAUUAUUUAUCAACCAGCUCUUAAUCCCUAUGGAGAGAUUAAUUGUAGAAAUAAUGAAUUUAAUCUGUACCCCAGAGGUAUAAAUAAUUGGUGCAAUUUGAAGUGAUUUGAUAUGUUAAAGAAACAUGCAAAACAAAAGAGUUCAGGCUAUCCUUGAACAGAUUUGCUUCUAAAACAUGUAGCACGAGUUACUGUGGAAUGACCUACACACACACAUGCACAUAUCCUGCAAUUAAUUGAUUUGUUCUGUGCUGUGUAUGGUAUGCCAGACUAAUCCAAGGUAGGAAGUAUAUAAUCCACAAGUAUUUUAAACCAAAUAUCAAUGAAAAGAAAUCAGAAUUACUCUUGUGAAUGCCAUCCUAGAUGAGUUAAUCCAGAUCAAAAAGGAAAAAUGAGUUACAUAUUCACUUUAAUCUAAAUGUUAAUUCUCUAAACUGUGUAUCUGUAUGAUCAGUUUUGUGUAAGUGUCUAGUAUGAACCAGACCGUCCUUAUUUUGAAAAGUGCAAGUGUACUUAUGUAUUGCUGAAAGACACAGUCAGGAACAGGAAUAUCAAAUGUGAAGAGACAGGGAAAAGUGCAACAAGGAAGGGAAUGUAGUACAUACAGUUAAAUUGAGAGACAUUUGAGGCAUUGAAUGGAAAACUAAUGGAGUAGAAAAUUUUUUUUUAAAAUUUUUAUCAAGUAAUUAAACAUUUGCUAUAGUUACAAGGGCAGAAGAUAAAAUAUUGGAUGGGUUUAUCUAUGUGAAAUUCAAAUAAUAAGUAAGUCACAACAAUUUUGGAUUUCAAUUUUAGUAAACCUAUGUUACAAAUAUUGAGUGUAGUCAUUAAGGAGAGAGAUGUGAACAUCUCUGUUGGAAACAUACAUAUCUUAUAUUAUAAACAUUGCAAGUGUAAAAUAAUCUAUGUAUUUGUUUACAUUUCAAAGACAUUUCCCAAACUCUUCUUUCUUUAUUGAAUCCUCCAAGCCUUUCCGAUUCUCUUUGUUUCUAUGAUGGUGCUCCUCCAUCUACAUGCCCACUUCACUUUAGCCAUUUAACACCCUCCUUCUCUGGGUUAUGAUGUUUCCACAAAACCAAUUGCCUUCCUUUCCAGAGAUGGCAGAUGAGGCAGUUGUCUUCUCCCUAUGCUUUACUGUCUACAUAGCAGUAACCAUGUACUGGCCAAGUAUACUCUUGUUGGUAAAUUUUGUGAGACUCUGAAAGGUAAACUUAAUUGAUACUGUUGUUUUUCAUAUUGGUUUCCAAUCCCUUUAAGAUCCUUUAGGCAUUCGACUAACUCAUCUUAUGUGGCUGUCAUUUUCUUUCAAAUGUUUAGCUGUAUCACCAUCUGUCUCAGUCAGGUGAUGGCAGAGCCCCUCAGAGGACAGACAUAUUAGGGUCUAAUCUGCAAGCACAUCUUGACAUCAGGAAUAGUGCGAGGAUUUACGGUCUGUGGAUGAAAUGAUUCUUAUGUUGUGGUGGUCUCUGGAGGGCCUUUCUUCAUUCUCUGCUCUUUUUUUUACAUUUUUUAAGCCUUGGAUAUUUAUACGUUAAAAUUUUGAUCUGCGUGGCAGCACCAUCCAUUCAAUAGGGUCAUGUUUAGCUACAAGGGGCAGUCUGCAGUCGUUCUAUCUCUUUGCUGCUUUGUAUUUCAACUAACAUCAUCCCAGUAGGUGUAUGGGAGCCUUUUGGAUUAUUGAAAUCGGGUAUUCCCUGGGAAUACCCAAGUUCACCACCCAUCAUUGAUGAUUAUUGUUAUUUAUUCCACUUUUCCUCUGGAUUUCUCUCUUCUGUCUUUUCAUUGGUGCUGCUCCCCCGACUUUGUCUAUCCUUCUGUACCUGUAGCUAGGUCCCAUUUUCCCUCCUCCUUCUAAGUUUGUUGCAAGCAUCCACAAUUGGUUUUCUUUCAUGUUACCAUGCAUGUGAUGAAGGAUUUUAAUUGUGGGUAUUCUGAACUUUGUGGCUAACAUCCAAAUGUCCCUAAUUACAUCCCAUGAUAGGACCUUUUCAAUCUCUGUUAAUUCACUAUUUUCCAGUUCCAUCUCUUUGCCUACAGUGUUCUUGGUCUCCGCAUUUUUAAUACCUGAGUAGUGUUCUUUGUUUUAUUAUAGCACACUUUCUCUAUUUAUUCCUCGUGGAGAUGACACUAUAGAGGGGUGAAGAAAUUCCCUGAAACCCUGGGAAGACGAGGAACAUGCCUUUUUGGUAGAAAAAGGAGUUACUUGAGCAUCUUGGGACAAUAUGGAAUGGCCAGCAUGCCCUUGUAAGGAAUGGCAACUUUCCACAAUUCCUUGGUCAUUUUUGGAAAAUUCCAGGUCCCUUUGGACAGAUGGAGAAGGUGUGGGUCUCACCUGAGGAAUAGUUGUAGCUUUUGUUGUCUCUUUGGCAGCAGAAGAUGGCACUAGAUCCCUUUUGGCAGAAGGGGGAAGGUUGAAACUGUCUUCCUUUAGGAGAAAUUUCUCAAGACUGCAUCAGAAUAAUCAAAUCAUAAGACUUUGUUUCUAGAAACUGGGUGCCUGUGGUCUACUGUGGUAGAGGGAGAAUGUCGACUAUUUCUCCCCAGAGUGGAAAUGUAAAUAAAUCUACUUGGGUAGAUGGGGAUAGUUGUAAAGCAUGCUGAUCAGAUGCAGUAGAUCCUAAGACAUCCUUCUCAGAUGAGGAAGGUCUUAAUGUACAGUGUAUAUGUGUGGAAAUCCUGAAUGUAACGUCAUAAUGGGGGGAAGGUAUUAGAACUACUUCUGAAGAUGUGACCUCUCCUAGAGCAUCCUAGACAAAUGUGAGAGGUCUGAGAGACUCAUGAGCAGAUAAGGAUGUUUCUAGAUAUUGUUGUGUAACUGUGGAAGUUCCAAAAAAAAUUCUUUGGCUGGAGAAGUGAAAACAGACUUUUGAAUAGAAGUGUCAGGUUUACUAGGUUGCUUGAUAGGCAAAGCAGGUUCCAAGGCCCCUUCAGAAGAUAUAGUAAAAUCCAAAGCCUUUGAGGUAUUUGGCAGAUGUUCUGGGUCUGCUUGUGGGUAUAAAGUAGGACUCACAACCAUUUGUGCACAUUUGGAAGAGUGUGUAGCAUCUUCUGUAGUUGGGGAAAAUGGCUGAUCUUGAGGAGAUAAAGAAGUUCCUAUAGCCUCCUGUGAAGUUUGCUCAGGUCAUAUGCAUUCUUUUGCACAAAUGGAGUCCAAGGAAUCUCUUUCCUCAGAUAUCAAGGAUGCUACAGACACUGGUGUUUGCAUAUCAUGUUUUCCCACUCCUCAUUCACAUAUGGUUGUAUCCAUAACCUUCUCUACAGAUGGAAUAUGUCCUAGAACAUCUUUUGUACAUGUGUCACAUCCAUAAGCCAUCUCUAAAGAUGUGGCUGUGGUUAGAACUACUUUUGUAGAUGUUUCUUGUCCCACAGUCUCUUUAUGAGAUAGAGUACUACUCAGAGAAUCCUGCUCAGUUUUGGGAAAUUCUAGCAUCUCUGAUGUAUAUGUGGAAAAUUUUGGAGCCUCUCCUUUCAGGACAGAACAACCUAGAGUCCCCUGAGGGGGAAAGGGAUGUUUUAUCUUCUCUGGAAAUUGUACAGAUAUGGAGCCUGCAUGGCUCAUUGACUGUGUCUUGUGAUAAACUUGGUUGUUUUUGUGCUUAUGACAAGUCAGGGGGUCCUUUUGUGUGAUAGAGGAUAUUUGAGUAACUUCUGAUGUAUAGGGACAUAGGAACCACUGGGGGAGAUGGUGAGGGUGCAAGAUCACAAUAUUUAUGUGCAGAAGGCCCAAGAGUCACUUGGGUAGACUCAAAAUUUUCUACCACAUCUUGCAUGGGUGUGGAACUCUCAAGAACCCCUUCUGAAACUGUAAAUGGUCCUUAAUCUAAUGGUGUACAGGAAGAAAGUUUUGUCUUACUUGGGCUGGUAUGUGUGUUAUGAGAUUCAGUUUGCGGAAUUUUGACUUUAUUUUGUCCCCUUUGACCAUAGUGAUGAUUUAAGCCCAUUUUUAAUAGUGGAGGACUUUGAAGGCCCUUUUGGUUUGAUAUGGAAGUUCUGAAAACCCCUUUGUCAGCAGAAACAGGUUUCAAACUCAUUUUACCCAAAGCAGAUUGCAUAAGGCACUUUGUUGGAGAGUGGGGACAUCUUUGAGUUUCUUUGUGAGUGGACAUAGCUCUGUGCCCUGCUAAGACCAUCAGAGGGGCAGAAACCUCUGAGAUCUCUGCUCACAUUAUGACUCAAGAAAAAAAAAAAAAAAACCUAGCUCCAUCUGGGCCUCCUGUGCAUAGGUACAUAGGAGCAGUAGGGGAAGGACAUUUCUGGUUGCAGCCCUCAUGGUAAGCUGAAAGUCAGCACAAAAAGUGAGCUCAGGCCUGAGACAAGAGUUGAAUUCAACAUUUCUGCUCGAGGUGAGCUGACUGGUGGACUCAGGAUACGCAAAGGCAGAACUCCUCUGGGAAUAAGCAUUUCCAGUUUUUAGCUGGCUCUUGAAUGUAGGCACAGAGACUGCUACUUCUGCCCAGCAUUGCCCAGGUCUCUGGCCCAAGACAAAACUGCAUAGUGCUUCUGGACACAGGAAUAUAGGAGGAGUAAAGCUACUGGAGCACCAUGUUCCAGACAGUGCCAAAACUGAACAGAACUGGUCAAACAGAUCCCUGUACCCAAAUCCUGAAGUUGGGGCAACUAGACCUUCAGAGAAGCAGACACUCCUGGGAAACCAGAGGAGACUACUCUCUGCCCAAAAUCCUGACUCAAGAGGAAAACAUCUUGUGCCAUCUGUUCCCCCUCCCCCAACAGAGGGACCUAGGAGAAGUACGGGAAUUUCGCUCUGGUUCUAGCCCACAGGGACAGCUGAAAGUCAGUGGAAAAGAGCAAUUACAUGCCUAGAUCAGAAUACACUGUUCUCAUAACUGGGUACAAGAAAACAGGAAAACAAGUCUACAGCAGUAUGGACACAUGAGCCUACAAGACAGUCAAGCCACUGUCAGAAAGAACAAGCCAGUCUAACUCCAGAGACAACCUGAUGGCUAGAGGCAAGCACAGAAUCACAAGCAACAGAAAUCAAGACUACUUGGAGUCAUCAGAACCCCAUUCUCCCAACAAAACACACACUGGAUAUCUAAACACACCAGAAAAGGAAGAUCUAGUUUUAAAUUCACAUUUUAUCAUGACAAAGGAGGAUGUUAGAAAGGUCAUAAAUAACUCCCUUAAGAAAAUACAGGACAACAGAAAGUACAGAAGUAAACAAGUAGAAUCCCAUAAAGAGAGACACAAAACUACCUUAAAGAACUACGGGAAGAACAGCAAAACAUGAAAAGGAAAUGAACAAAACCACCCAGGAAUUAAAAAUGGAAAUAGAAAUAACUAAGGAAGCACAAAGGAAGACAACCCUGGAAAUGAAAAACCUAGAAAAGAGACCAGGAGUCAUAGAUGUGAGAAUCACCAACAGGAUAAAAGAUAUAGAAGACAUAAUCUAAGGAGCAGAAGUUUGCAUAGAAAUCAUUGACACAACUGUCAAAUAUAAGGUAAAACUGAAAAGCACCUAGCCCAAAACAUACAGGAAAUCCAGGACACAAUGAGAAGAUCAAACCUAAGCUUAACAGAUAUAGAAGAGGGUGAAGACUGCCAAAUCUAGGGACAGUAAUAUCUUCAACAAAAGUAUAGAAUAAAACUUCCAUAAUCUAAAGAAAGAGAUCCCCAUAAACAUAUUCAAAGCCUACAGAACUCCAAAUAGAUUGGACCAGAAAAGGAAAUCCUCCCAUCACAUAAUAAUCAAAACACCAAAUGCGAAAAACAAAUAAAAAUAUUAAAAGCAGUAAGGGAAAAGGUCAAGUAACAUAUAAAGGCAAACGUAUCAGAAUUACACCAGAAUUCUCAAAAGAGACUAUGAAAGCCAAAAGAUCCUGGACAGAUGUCAUACAGACAUUAAGGUAACAAAAAUGCCAGCCCACACUACUGUAUCCAGCAAAACUCUCUACUAACGUUGAUGGAGAAACCAAGAUAUUCCAUGAUUAAACCAAAUUUACACAAUAUCUUUCUACAUAUCCAGUCAUACAAAGGACAUUAACUGGAAAACCCCAACAUAAGGAGGCAAGUAAAAUCAUAGAUAAAGCAAGAAAUUAAUCUUUUCACAACAAAACAAAGAGAAGAGAAGCACACAAACAUAAACUAACCUCCAGUUAUGAAAAUAAGACAAAGUUAUCAUCACUAUUCCUUAAGAUCUCUCAAUAUCAAUGGACUAAAUUCCCCACUAAAAAAACACAGACUGACACUCUGGAUAUGUAAUGAGGACCCCACGUUUUGCACUACAGGAAACUCAUUUCAGAAACAAAGAUAGACACUACCACAGACUAAAAGGCUUGUUAAAAACUUUUCAAGCAAAGCUGAAGAAGCAAGUGGGAGUAGCCAUUCUAAUAUCAUAUAAAAUCCACUUUCAUCCAAAAGUCAUCACAAAUCAUAAGGAAGGACACUUCAUAAUCAUCAAAGGAAAAAUCCACCAAAAUGAACUUGAAAUUAUAAAUAUCUAUGCUCCAAAUACAGGGGUACCUACAUACAAAAAAGUAACCUUACUAAAGCUCAAAGAAAAUAUUGCACCUCAAACAAUAAUAGCAGUAGAUUUCAACUCCCUAUUCUCAUCACUAGACAGAUAACAGAAACAGAAAUUAAAAAGAGUCAUAGACAGACUAACAGAAGAUAUAAACCAAAUGGACUUAACAGAUAUUUAGAGAACAUUCUAUCCUAAAACAAAAGGAUAUACCUCCUUCUCACCAUCUCUUGGCACAUUCUCCAACAUUGAUCAUACAAUCAGUCAAAAAGCAGUCCACAAAUGACACAGAAAGAUAGAAAUAAUCCAAGGCAUCUUUCACACCACCAUGGGCUAAGGCUGUUCUUCAAUAACAAUUAGGAAAGAACACCCACAUAUACAUGGAAGUUGAACAAUGCUCUACUCAAUGAUAACUUGGUCAAGGAAAAAAUUAAAGAGUUCUUAGAAUUCAAUGAAAAUGAAGGUACAACAUACCCAAAACUCUUGGAACACAAUGAAAGCUGUGCUAAGACAAAAACUCAUAGCUCUGAGUGCAUGCAGAAAGAAAUAGGAGAGAGCAUACAUCAGCAGCUUGAGAGCAAACCUAAAUCAUAUAGAACAAAAAGAAGCAAAUAACUGCAGGACUAGUAGUAGGCAGGAAAUAAUCAAACUCAGAGCUGAAUUCUACCAAGUAGAAAAAAGGGACUAUACAAAGAAUCAACACAACCAAUACCUGGUUCUGUGAGAAAAUCAACAAGAUACAUUAACCCAUAGCCAGACUCACCAGUGGAUACAGAGAGUGUGUAAAAUUAACAAAAUCAAAUAUUAAAAAGUAAGACAAGGGGGUUGGGGAUUUAGCUCAGUGGUAGAACGCUUGCCUAGGAUGCGCAAGGCCCUGGGUUCGUUCCCCAGCUUCGGAAAAAAAGGAAAAAAAAAGGGAGACAAAACAGCAGAAUCAGAGGAAAUUAAAAGAAAUCAUUGUAUAACAAAAACCUAUGUUCAACAAAACUUGAAGAUCUGGAGAAAGCGGACAAUUUUCUAGACAAAUACAAGAGACAAAAACUAAAUCAGGAAAUGUUAAACCAUUUAAACAACCCAUAACUCCCAAAGUUAUACAAGCAAUCAUCAAAACUCUCCCAACCAAAAAGAGUCCAGGAACAGAUGGGUUUAGUGCAUAUAUCCAUCCAAAUUCAUUGAAAAUUUCAAAACAAUACUGUCCAAACCAUUCCAUAAAAUUGAAACAGAUGGAGUACUACCAAGUUGCUUUAAUGAAGCCACAAUUACUCUUAUAACUAAAACACAGAAAGAGCCAACAAAGAAAGAAAAUUUCAGACCAAUAUCCCUUAUCAAUAUCGGCACAAAAAUACUCAAUGAAAUUCUUGCAAACCUAGUCCUACAACACAUUAAACAAUCAUCCAUUAUGAUUAAGUAGGAAUCAUCCCAGUCUUGCAGGGAUGCUUUAAUGUAUAGAAAACCAACAACGUAAUCCACUAUAUUAACAAACUCAAAGAUGAAAACCACAUGAUCCUUUCAUUAGAUGCUGGGAAAAUUUUGACAAAAUUCAACAUCACUUCAUGAUAAAAGUCCUGGAAAGUAGAGGAAUUUAAGGCCCACACCUAAACAUAUACAGCAAAUACGUAGCUAACAUUAAACUAAGUGGAAAGAAACUUAAAGCAAUCACACUGUAAUCAGGGAAUGGACAAGGCUACCCACUCUCACAAAACUUAUUCAAUAUAGUUCUAUACAUCUUAGCCACAGCAAUCAGACACUGAAGGAAGUCAAAGGGAUAUAGUUUGGAAAGGAAGAAGUCAAAAUAACACUGUAUGUAGAUGAUAUGAUAGUAUACUUAGUGACACCAAAGGUUUCACAAAAGAAGUACUAAGCUUGAUAUACAAUUUCAGCAAAGUGCUGGGUAUAAAAAUAACUGUGCACAAAAACUAAACAGGUGGAGAAAUAAACUAGGGAUAUGACACCCUUCACAAUAGCCCCAAAUAAUAUAAAAUAUCUCGGGGUGACUUUAUCCAAGCAAGUAAAAAAUAUGAGCAUAUGAGUAGAACCUCAAGUCUCUGAAGAAACUGAAGGAGAUUUCAGAAGAUGGAAAGAUCUCCUAUUUCCAUGGACUGCCAGGAUUAAUAUAGUAGAAACGGCCAUUGCACCAAGAGCAACCUACAGAUUCAUUCCAAUCCCCAUCAAAAUUCAAAUCCAAUUCUUCAUAGAGUUAGACAGAACAAUUCAUGAAUUCAUUUUGAAUAACAAAAAACACAUAAUAGCUAAAACUGUCCCCAACAAUAAAAGGACUUCCCUAGGAAUCACAAUUCCUGUACUUAAGAAGUAUUACAGAGCAACGGUGAUAAAAAAACUGUAUGAUAUUGAGACAGAAUCAGCAAAUAAACCAGUGGAAUAGAACUGAAGACCCAGAAAUGAACCCAUACACCCUUGGUCACUUAAUUUUUGAGAAAGGAGACAAAACCAUACAAUGGGAAAAAAAGAGCAUUUUCAGCAAAUGGUGCUGGUUCAACUGGAGGUCAGCAUAUAGAAGAAGGCAAAUUGAUCCAUUCUUACUGCCCUGUAGAAAGCUGAAGUACAACUGGAUCAAGGACCUCCACAUCAAACCAGAUAAACGCAUACUAACAUAAGAAAAAGUGGGAAAGCAUCUAGAACACAUGGCCAGUGGAGAAAAUUUCCUUAACAAAACAGGAAUGGCUCAUGCUCUAAGAUCAAGAAUCAACAAAUGCGAACUCACAAAACUCCAGAGCUUCUGUACGGCAGAGGACACUGUUGUUAGGACAAAAUGGCAACCAACAGUUUGGGAAAAGAUCUUUACCAAUCCUAAAACAGAUAGAGGGCCAAUACCCAAAAUAUACAAAGAAAUCAUGAAGUUAGACUACAGGGAGACAAAUAACCAUAUUGAAAAAUAGGGUUCAGAGCCAAACAAAGAAUUCACAAUCGAAUGGCAGUGAAACACUUAAAGAACUGUUCAACAUCUUUAGUCAUAAGGGAAAUGCAAAUCAAAACAACCUUGAGAUUUCACCUCACACCAGUCAGAAAGGCUAAGAUCAAAAACUCAUGUGACAGCAAAAAUCAGGCCACAUGCUGGUGAGGAUGUGGAGAAAGAGGAACACCCCUCCAUUGUUGGUUGGAUUGCAGACUGGUACAACCAUUCUGAAAAUCAGUCUUGAGGUUCCUCAGAAAAUUCGACAUUGAGUUAUCUGAAGUCCCAGCUACUCCUCGCUUGGGCAUAUACCCAAAAGAUGCCCCAACAUAUAACAAAGACACGUGCUCCACUAUGUUCAUAGCAGCCUCAUUUAUUAUAGCCAGAAGGUGGAAAGAGCCUAGAAGCUUUUCAACAGAGGAAUGGAUACAGGAAAUAUGGCAUAUCUACACAAUUUAGUGUCAUUAAGAGAUACUAAGUUAAUAACGAUGGAGAAAAGAAAACUUUACUGGGUCUUUAUAUGACAUGGAUCAUAUCUAUAAGACACAAAAUACCUUAUUCAUCAGAAAUAAAGUAAUGGAACUAAAUAUGCUAUAUAUUUGAAUAAAUGCUUAAAAUAAUGGCACAGUAAUUAGCAAAAAUUACAUGAAAAAUACUAAAUACUAAACUCACAAAUCGUUGGUGAAGUACAAAUACAAAUGACAGUGAAAUUAUUUGUGAUUCAAUAGUACCACCGAAGGAAUAUGUCGUUGAUGGAAUCUGUCUAUUCCAGUUAUAACUCCAUAAAUGUCUUUACCUUCUCACUGUUCACAAUAUCCAUGUUACAAAAUUGGAAAAAUAAAUUACAUAGGCACUAGACCUUUAUUUAAUCAUCAAAUAGCAAAAUUUUAUCAUUGGCCUGGAUAUUGAUGAAACUAGACUUCAUUUUGCAAGUUGAAAGUUCAGAAGUAUGAAGACAAUUAUCUAAAUCUUAUGAAAGUGGGCAACUGCUGUUUGUUUGAAUUUGAAGCCUCUUCUAUAGAAGGAAAGUCAGAUGUCAUGUUAUAAACAUUGACAGUUUUCACAUGGCUCACAUGGUCACAGAGAGGAUCCUACUACUCCUGUUUUGCUAAAUGGCCAUGUUGUCAAACUGCGUUCCAAUUCUCAUUGUUUUUGUCCAUACAUUACUGCUUUUAUGGCCUGUGGUCAGAGAAAUGUAUAGGUGUACUGGGCAGCAAUUACUGUAGUUCUGUGUAACUGGUAUAAGUGCUAAGACCGUGAGAAGAAGAAAGCUGAGCAUAAGGCUGGGGAAACAUUGCAGAAAAGGAGAAGACAGAACUUGAGGAGAGAGGAUGUAAUCAUGACAUCUAGUCAUGACACAGUUAUUGGAACUAUGGACUCACUGCAUCUACAGUAGAAUGCACAAGUCUUGUACACAAUUAAGACAAUGAAUUAGGGAAGAUCCCAGCAGGCAGUACUCAGUGAACCAAUGGAUUAUAAAGAAAAUAAAACAGGAAAAUAUAAAGAACAUGAAGCUAGAAAGGGAAUUUAUCCAGAGAGAGAAGAACCAAGUUAAUGAUUGGUGUGAUCA